CACAUUCACCUCUCCCCCAUCCCAAGUAAUUUUACUUUAUAAGUAAAUAACAAGUAUUGUUACUUUAACAUGUGUCCUCCUGACCUCAUUCGAUGCAUUUAGAUAUGAGUCUCUACAUAUGAAAAUAUAUGAUCUCAUGUACUUAACCUCUCUGCUCAGUUUCCUCAUCUGAAAAAUGGACAUGAGGAUAAUAGUAGUUAAGUCAUGGAGUUACUGAGCAGGUAACCUGAGAUCAUUCAUACGGAGUGUUUCACACAGCAUCUGGCACACAGUGUCUGCUAUUAUUGUUGUCAUUGUUGCCAUCUUUUUGUCAUCAUCAUUGGGCCCCAGACUCAAUUCUGGGUGGAGGUCUAGUAGAGGCCCCCUCCUCCCCCCACAGCCUCUCCCCCUUCUCCCUCCUGACAAAGUGACUGUGAUAAAAAUCUGUGUUCCCUAAUGCCUGUGUUUUUUUAAAAGCUAGAGCGAGCCCCUGGUGUUUUCUGCAUGUCAUCCUCUCCCUUCAGCUCCCCCCCCUCCCUUCCGCCCUCCCUACCCCUACUCUGCCCUUCCCUCCCACAUUUGACCCAGGUGCGACCACUCAUCCCACUGCUGAGACAACACUGCCAGUCCAUGCUGGAGGAAGAGCCUUCCACAGCCCGGGUGAGAUGACCCACCCUAGCUCUACACAAAGCAUGUCCCCCAGGGCUGAAGUGGGGGAGACUCUGUGGGAGGCCACUUAACAGAGCAAGAGCUAGCCUUUGCAGCAUGGACGAGGAAGUUUGGUUUUGAUUUACAAGCCUCAGCAGAAGGGUAAAUGAUUUUUUUGAAGCUGUUGCAGGUCCCUAAGGUCAUCCAUAGAGCUCACUCCACCUGGAAAGGAUGUAGGACGUGGAGGGGCCUCACUGAUCCAGAGGAUGCAUCAGGAAGUAGUCAAACCCCAGGUAAAAUUUUUUUCAGGACCAGAUCAAGUUCGUGCAGAGCACUGGCUGUUGCGGCUGUGAGACCAAAAAACAUGCCAGGCACAGAAGCUGACAUAGAUUAAUUGGGACUUAUGAACAGGAGAAGUUCUCCAGUGGUGGCUGUCAGGGCGUUUAGUGCUCUACAUGGGACAGGGGGAGUACAAGGAGCAAUAUAUAGUUUCAGAACAAAGACAUUCCAUAUAGUAUGAGGACAUCGGGUCUCUAGAAUAAUCAUUAAAGGGGCCUAAAACCUGAUGUUACUGAGAUUAGUAUUUAAGAUACAAUCAAUGCCAUUUUUUACAUCCGUGGUUACAGUCUUCUCCCUCCGGGGAAAUUGUUAACUUUCUUGAACUUUGUCCUUGGCUAAGGUAAGUUUGUUAUGGGCCAUUUAGGAGGGGUCCUGGGCCCUGGGCCGCCACAACUUUACACACGUUAAAAUUCACCUUUUUUGGUGUACAUAUGUUGUGUAACUACCA